AUGAAAAAUGCAAGAACCAACUUCUACUGCAUUCAGAGCACAGGACACCGGUAUGAAGGUGGACUCUGGAUAGACCGUCCAAAGCAGGAUUUUUAUAACAAUGAAAGACAUGUUACAAUAGUCACAACUACUGGUCUUCCUUGGGUGACGGGAACAGUUAUAAACCCAUUUUUUUCAGUUGCAUAUUUAUCACAAGGUCAGCCAUUUACCCUCUUGCCAUUUAACUUCCUUGUAUGA